AUUUUCCGUCGAGCUCACUUGCUGUAUUGAAGAGCACACAUACUCGGGAAGAGAAGAAGAAGAAGACCAAAAGCGAAAAGGGAGGAAGAAAUGUCUGCAAGAGGAAAGCGAAGAGACGACGAAGAUCAUGUAUCUGAGGGAGAUGCUCCUCCAAAGAAGACAUUCAGGAAAGAUUCCGAUGAAACUGAUGAAAUCGUCGUCUGCGAGAUUUCAAAGAACCGUAAGGUUAUUGUGAGGAACUGGCAAGGAAAGAUUGUGGUGGAUAUUCGGGAGUUUUAUGUCAAGGAUGGAAAGCAGAUGCCUGGAAAGAAAGGCAUCUCGCUAUCCUUGGAUCAGUGGAAUGUUCUCCGUAAUCAUGUAGAUGAAAUUGACAAGGCUGUUGAUGAAAAUUCGUUAGGUGAUUAGUGAGGCAUCUUUGGUUGAUAUUAGUAGCAAAUGUAUUGCUCCGUAGGGUUGUUUUGCUUUAUGACAACGAAAGUAUGCCUUUUGUACAGCCAAUGGGCUUGGUGGAAAUGAAGACCAGAGAGCAGGUUACAUAUCAUCUUGGAGUAAGCCAAUACGAUCUGGAGGAGCUCAUCUCUCUCUUUAUGACAAUUGGGUAGCAAGCUUCCCAAACUAUAUGCCAAGAUCGAAGAAGAACAUGGAGCCUUGACAUGAUGUCAUGGUU